rnacentral:lncRNA from 1 species
UUUGAUUGCAUUGGGAAAUAAAGGAGGAAUAAUUUAGGAGAAUUAAAAAUACGUUAUGUUGGCUUAAAUGGACUAGCAUCCUGUCCUGUAGCGGAAGAUUAUAUUGGGCCGAGUCAUGUUUGAAAUGGCGUGAGGCUGAAUGAGUCGAGUCAUAUUCGAAGUGGUGUGAGGCUGGUUAGGCCAAGUCAUAAUCGAGACUCAUGGGCGUUGUAUCUGUACACUUUAAUUGAAUUGGUUACGUAUUUCUAACAGCUCGAGCUAUUAGGAUUAAUGGUUAGCACAAACGAUCCGAUAAGUAGUAUCAGAGCCAGAGGUCACAGGUUUGAUUUUCGCAUACUGAAAAUAUGUGUAAGUACUGGAGAGGGGAUUGUUGGCUUAAAUAGGUUAGCAUCCUGCCCUGUGGCGGGAGGCCAUGUUGGGACGAGUCAUGUUCAUGUUUGAAGUGGCGUAAGGCUGGUUGGCGUGAAGCUGGUUCGGCCAAGUCAUAAUCAAGACCCGUAGACGCUGUAUCUGU